GCACACAACCGGUUCAAGGUGUACCCUGGCUCUUGCUCAAAGUCAGCUGGGAUAGGCUCCAGCACACCUGCCACCCUAGUGAGGAUAACCAGUACAGAGGACAGAUUUAACAUCAUUUCACCCUUUUUUUAAUAGGGAAAUAACGUCAGCAAAAGUCAAAGUAGAGUUUAGAAGAGUGUUUAGACACACUUGUUGUCUAGAUAAUUGACGGUUGUUGUUAAAGUGCGAAAUGAAUCAAACUGUGUUGAAAUGAGUUGAGUAUGAAGGUAAUAUUUCAGGACAAAAAUCUGGAUUUAAUAUCAUUUUAACCCUUUUUUUUAAUUGGGAAAGCAAUAUCAGAAAAAGCCAAAGUGUAGCUUAAAUUUGUUUUUGUUUGUUUUUAAAAGCUAUACUUUGUUGUUUUUCCAGAAAAUGAUGUUAAAAUGUUGACUCAGUAUUUUUCCGUCCACUGUAACAUUUUUAUGUCCAUAAAGCGCAUUUAAAUACACCUUUUGACGUCCAAUGUAUAUAUUAAUAUAUAUUUCCGAUAUCACUUAUCCCUUUUUAGGCUCCUGGGUGUGCUGGAGCAAAUCCCAGCUGACUUCGGGUGAGAGGUGGCUUCUUGCAACAGCUGGUCCUCGUCUCUUUCUUCACUGUGACCUAAUCUGAUUCAGUGCCACGCUUCUUAGGUUGAUGUCACACAACUUGAGGCUAAACUGGUAAGUCCAAUAGCAAUGGAGUCCCAGCUUUUUGUGGACAUCAUCAUUUUUGUUCAAAAACAAUCUAGCUGGAAAAUACACAGAAAAGACAGCAGUAAGUUAGCUCAAAAUGUGGUAAAGUUUGUGGGCUCCCUCCAAGGGUACAUGGGGAAAAAAUCAUUGUCUAAGUGCAGUUCAGUUGUAUUUAACUUUGAUGUUUAAUACAUUUGAACUGAAUCAUUAUUCAAGUAAUUUUUUCCCCACGAUAGUUAAGUGAUGUGUUAAUGAUCAAACUGUGCAGAAUACCAUAGUGGCUUACAAUAUUAUUAAAUAUACUCUUUGGAAAUAACAUCUCUGUCCUGUUUUUACUGAACACUUAGGCCUACUACGCUCGUGUAUUUUUUAAUCUUGUCAUUAUGAUGGUACUAUAUUGCAGUUUUACCUGUAAUAUUUGACUCAUAAUGUUUUCAUUUUACUUUAAUUACAUAUUUUUAAUUUGUUACUGUAUGUUUUUUUUUACAUGUAAUAAUCUCUAAUAAAAGGGGUUUAAAGUAUUAAAAAAGCCUUUACAAAUAGAAUGAAAAUCAGUUUUCUAUGUUUAUGAUUGUGGUUGCAGAUACUGAGAGCUGUUUGUUUACCUUACCGUAAGAGGGGCGCAAUGUGAAAAGCCUCUCAAUAUGAUGCCGUUAUUCUUCACCACGGCAACCACAAUAAUACAUCUGCAGUUUUUUCAGUGAGUAACUUUCUGACACUGUCACAUAUGCAAUUCAAUCCAUGCGAAAUGACAAGAGGAAAGGCCGACUCGCUCACAUGCGGAAGGCGACGCAUCGGUGUUGUCAGUCGAUGAUGCGCUGUGCACAAAGCCUCCUUUUACCCAACAGGCAAGCUGUAGACACACAUGGCAGCUUGGUCACCAUGGAGACCUGCAGGCUUUAGUAACUCGUGGGUAAGAAGCCAAAGCCUAUUGAGUGGGAGCCGUGCCUCCGUGAAAUACCGAGUGCACCCAAAAAAAAAAAACAAAGUUGUCGUCCACUCCCUCCUCGCGUUAAUAUAUAUUGACAAGCUUUGUGCGAGUGGAGCAUUGUCACAGUUCUUGGCUGGUGCGGCAACAGACAAUGUGAGCGGGUAUACAGAAUGCGCUGGUGAUAACCACUGGCGACUUGAAUAUGUCAGUGGACCUCAUAUCUGUCUGCCCGUGCCUCGAUCAGAUUCACCCAAAUCGCAUUAAACCAGCGGUCUACCCUGCAGUUGAACGUGGUCUGAGCGUUUACUUCCCGCUACCUAAUUGUCACUCUGCCAGGUGCAUCUCAAAGGACACACCCUCAUUCAACUUGGCCCCUACCUUGGCGCAGACCGGUCUGCCAAUUUGGCAAACACACACAGCGAGCGUCGCGCUUGCACAAAAAUCGGAAUCCGUCAGCAUUUGACGCCGCCGCAGAUCCGCUGUCUGUAAAAAUAGAGCCCUCAAUGUAAAGUUCAAAAGUGAUUCAUAUCGCAGAUGCACCUUGCAUAUCUAUUUUUUUUUUUUACUGUGUUAAAUGGCACACAAAUGUAAAAAGAAGUUAACCUGGAGUAAAGCAUUAAAAUAAUAAACACUC